GCGGGUGUCGUAUAAUGGUUAUUACGUUAGGUUGCCAAUCUAAAAACGGCGGUUCGAUUCCGCUCACCCGCUCAA
rnacentral:tRNA from 1 species